rnacentral:tRNA from 1 species
GGGAAUGUAGCUCAGUGGUAGAGUGCUUGCUUGGCAUGCAAAAGGCCCUGAGUUCAACCCCAGUACCACCA